rnacentral:rRNA from 1 species
UGGGGAAUUUUGGACAAUGGGGGAAACCCUGAUCCAGCCAUCCCGCGUGUGCGAUGAAGGCCUUCGGGUUGUAAAGCACUUUUGGCAGGAAAGAAACGUCGCGGGUUAAUACCCCGCGAAACUGGCGGUACCUGCAGAAUAAGCACCGGCUAACUACGUGCCAGCAGCCGCGGUAAUACGUAGGGUGCAAGCGUUAAUCGGAAUUACUGGGCGUAAAGCGUGCGCAGGCGGUUCGGAAAGAAAGAUGUGAAAUCCCAGAGCUUAACUUUGGAACUGCAUUUUUAACUACCGGGCUAGAGUGUGUCAGAGGGAGGUGGAAUUCCGCGUGUAGCAGUGAAAUGCGUAGAUAUGCGGAGGAACACCGAUGGCGAAGGCAGCCUCCUGGGAUAACACUGACGCUCAUGCACGAAAGCGUGGGGAGCAAACAGGAUUAGAUACCCUGGUAGUCCACGCCCUAAACGAUGUCAACUAGCUGUUGGGGCCUUCGGGCCUUGGUAGCGCAGCUAACGCGUGAAGUU